rnacentral:rRNA from 1 species
CCUACGGGGGGCUGCAGUGGGGAAUAUUGGACAAUGGGGGGAACCCUGAUCCAGCCAUGCCGCGUGUGUGAAGAAGGCCCUCGGGUUGUAAAGCACUUUCAGUGAGGAAGAACGCCUGGUGGUUAAUACCCAUCAGGAAAGACAUCACUCACAGAAGAAGCACCGGCUAACUCCGUGCCAGCAGCCGCGGUAAUACGGAGGGUGCGAGCGUUAAUCGGAAUUACUGGGCGUAAAGCGCGCGUAGGUGGCUUGAUAAGCCGGUUGUGAAAGCCCCGGGCUCAACCUGGGAACGGCAUCCGGAACUGUCAAGCUAGAGUGCAGGAGAGGAAGGUAGAAUUCCCGGUGUAGCGGUGAAAUGCGUAGAGAUCGGGAGGAAUACCAGUGGUGAAGGCGGCCUUCUGGACUUACACUGACACUGAGGUGCGAAAGCGUGGGUAGCAAACAGGAUUAGAUACCCUAGUAGUC